GACGUAGAGUGCGAGCGUUGUCCGGAUUUAUUGGGCGUAAAGAGCGUGUAGGCGGCCAGGUAGGUCUGCUGUGAAAACUCGAGGCUUAACCUCGAGCUGUCGGCGGAAACCAUCUGGCUAGAGUCCGGAAGAGGAGAAUGGAAUUCCCCGGUGUAGCGGUGAAAUGCGCAGAUAUCGGGAAGAACACCCGUGGCGAAGGCGGUUCUCUGGGACGGUACUGACGCUGAGACGCGAAAGCGUGGGGAGCGAACAGG
rnacentral:rRNA from 1 species